GUGGGGAAUUUUGGACAAUGGGCGCAAGCCUGAUCCAGCAAUGCCGCGUGCAGGAAGAAGGCCUUCGGGUUGUAAACUGCUUUUGUACGGAACGAAACGGUCCGGGUUAAUACCCUGGGCUAAUGACGGUACCGUAAGAAUAAGCACCGGCUAACUACGUGCCAGCAGCCGCGGUAAUACGUAGGGUGCAAGCGUUAAUCGGAAUUACUGGGCGUAAAGCGUGCGCAGGCGGUUUUGUAAGACAGGCGUGAAAUCCCCGGGCUCAACCUGGGAAUUGCGCUUGUGACUGCAAGGCUGGAGUGCGGCAGAGGGGGAUGGAAUUCCGCGUGUAGCAGUGAAAUGCGUAGAUAUGCGGAGGAACACCGAUGGCGAAGGCAAUCCCCUGGGCCUACACUGACGCUCAUGCACGAAAGCGUGGGGAGCAAACAGGAUUAGAAACCCUUGUAGUCC
rnacentral:rRNA from 1 species